rnacentral:rRNA from 1 species
UACGGGAGGCAGCAGUGGGGAAUAUUGCACAAUGGGCGCAAGCCUGAUGCAGCCAUGCCGCGUGUGUGAAGAAGGCCUUCGGGUUGUAAAGCACUUUCAGCGGGGAGGAAGGCGGUGAGGUUAAUAACCUCAUCGAUUGACGUUACCCGCAGAAGAAGCACCGGCUAACUCCGUGCCAGCAGCCGCGGUAAU